rnacentral:tRNA from 1 species
GGCCCUUUCGUAUAGAUAGGUUAGUACAAGGCAACUUCACUGCCUAAACGCCAGUUCGAUCCUGGCAAGGGUCA